GAAAAAAAAAAAAAAAAAAAAGAGAGAGAGAGAGAGAGAGAGGGCCAAGAUUCCUGCUCCUCCAUCCGUCCCUCUCUGCCUCUCUGCAAUUUCAUCGCCUACCGUGCCCUCUAAUCCUUCUUCUCACGUAUACAAUUUUAUUUUUUCUUUUUGUUUUCAAUUUUUUUUUUCACAGUUUGCCAUCAUCAACAUCAUCACCAUCAUGGCAUGAAGCAGCGGCCUCUCUGAAAAACGAAUCAUGAAAACUCUGAGUUGAGAUUCGGCACCGCUUCAGAUCUGCAAUUGGGAAAAAGGCUCUGCCAUUUUACUAUGAUUUCGUAUUCAGUGCAUUGAAGAACCUCUCUGAUCUCUCUGAUCCCCUUCGCGUCUCUCGAGGAGGCUCGUUAGGGUUUCUCUGGGAGGUCUAAACAAUAUGUUCGAUUUAUUGAGCUGGAAAGAUCGUUUGGGGAGAAUGAACGUUGUUGAUUUAAGAUGAAGAUUGUGUUUUGGUGUGAUGGGUUGUCAUUUGUGGAGGAAGGAAGCUCGAAUUACUUGGGUUGUUUUAUCCGUUGAGGAUUGAAACCGACAUUGAUUUUGGGUCGUAGAAGUGGAAUUGGUGUGGGCAAUUCUACCAUGUUUUCAUUGGGAAUUUAUUUGUGAGUUCCAGUCAACCAUUAUUGCCAUCAUUUCGGGUCUUUCAUCUGUGGUGCAUUAUCCUGAGCUCCCCGUGUUGGAGCAUAGGCUCUGUUAGCUGUCUCCGUUCCAAUCCUUCUUUCUCAUCUUCCAUCUUUGAGGACCCACAAAGUCGUUUCUUGGAUGUGAAUUGGAAUGCACCGCACAGGAGAGGAAACACCUGGAAUUGUGGACUGCAAUGGAGCUGCAUAACAACUCCACGAGCUUUGAAAUUUCGGGGGCAUCUUCUCGAGUCCAGGAAAAGUGGAACAAACCCCAAAGGAGUCGCCAUAAAAGUGUGCAGUUUGAAGAGGAUCUGAUACAUGAGGAGGAUCCGAGGUUGAUUUAUAUAAAUGAUUGGAGGAGGACGAAUGAUAAGUAUGAGUUCACAGGGAAUGGGAUCCGGACUAGCAAGUACACAUUGAUCACUUUCUUGCCCAAGAACAUCUUCAUACAGUUCCAUCGUGUUGCUUAUUUGUAUUUUCUGGGUAUUGCUGCUCUUAACCAGCUUCCGCCUCUGGCUGUCUUUGGGAGAACAGUAUCUCUUUUUCCUCUCCUCUUUGUGCUUUGUGUUACAGCUGUUAAAGAUGGCUAUGAAGAUUGGCGGAGGCACAGGUCAGAUGAAGUGGAGAACAACCGUGAGGCUCUGGUGCUUUAUGCUGGUCAAUUUCAGAAGAAAAAAUGGAAAAAGAUACAAGCUGGUGAGGUGGUGAAGAUCCGUGCAGAUGAGACAAUUCCUUGUGACAUGGUUUUGCUAGGGACGAGUGAUCCCAGCGGAAUUGCCUACAUUCAGACAAUGAAUUUGGAUGGUGAGUCAAACCUGAAGACAAGGUAUGCUAGGCAGGAAACUGCUUCGACGGUGCUUGAUGUGGGAGCCAUAUCAGGGCUCAUCAAAUGUGAACAACCUAAUAGGAAUAUUUAUGAGUUCAAGGCGAAUAUGGAGUUCAAUGGGCAAAGAUUUCCCCUCAACCAAUCAAACAUCAUUCUGCGUGGUUGUCAGUUGAAGAACACAGAAUGGGUAAUUGGCGUAGUGGUGUAUGCGGGACAGGAAACAAAAGCAAUGUUGAACAGUGCAGCCUCUCCUUCCAAAAGAAGCAAACUGGAAAUUUACAUGAACAGAGAGACCCUGUGGUUGUCUUUUUUUCUUUUUAUCAUGUGUCUUGCCGUGGCUGUUGGAAUGGGUUUAUGGCUUGAACGACACAAAAACCAGCUUGACACUCUGCCUUAUUACAGGAAAAGAUACUUCACCACUGGGAGGUUUAAUGGGAAAUCAUAUAAAUAUUAUGGGAUUUAUAUGGAAACCUUUUUCUCAUUUUUGAGUUCUAUUAUAGUGUUUCAGAUAAUGAUACCAAUAUCUCUGUAUAUUACAAUGGAGUUGGUUCGGUUGGGGCAAUCGUACUUUAUGAUUGAAGACAAGCAUAUGUAUGACAGUAGCUCCGACACGAGGUUUCAGUGCAGAUCGUUGAAUAUUAAUGAGGAUUUGGGUCAAGUACGAUAUGUAUUUUCAGACAAGACAGGGACACUUACUGAAAACAAAAUGGAAUUCCGAAGAGCUAGUGUAUAUGGGAAGAAUUAUGGAAGCUUCUUGAUUAGGGCUGAUCCAUUGGAGGAAAAUGGUUCAGUACAUGCAACAACUGUAGAGGGAAGGGGACAGAAGCUUAAAUCUCAAAUUGCCAUUGAUAAUGAACUCAUGGAAUUGUUGCAUAAAGACCUAGCUGGAGAUGAAAGGAUUGCAGCACAUGAGUUUUUCCUCACACUGGCUGCAUGUAAUACUGUGAUCCCUAUUCCUACUCCAUCUGCUAGUUGCACAGAGAGUGGAUUACAUGAUUAUGUAGGAGCUAUCAAUUAUCAGGGUGAAUCUCCUGAUGAGCAAGCGCUAGUUGCUGCAGCUUCUGCUUAUGGAUAUACUCUUUUUGAGCGCACAUCUGGGCAUAUUGUGAUUGAUGUCAAUGGCGAGAAACUAAGGCUGGAUCUGUUGGGUCUGCAUGAGUUUGAUAGCGUGCGCAAAAGAAUGUCUGUUGUCAUCAGAUUCCCCAAUGAUACUGUGAAAGUCUUGGUGAAAGGUGCUGAUUCUUCAAUGUUUAGCAUUUUAGCAGAAGACAGUGGGAGGAAUAGUCAUGUAAGGCCUGCAACUCAGAGCCAUUUGACCGAAUAUUCAUCACAAGGCUUACGCACACUUGUAGUUGCUGCUAGGGAUCUCACUGAUGAGGAACUUUCAGAGUGGCAGUGCAAGUAUGAAGAUGCAAGCACUUCAUUGACUGAUAGAUCUGUAAAACUUCGUCAAACAGCAGCUUUCAUUGAAUGCAAGUUAAAUCUUCUUGGGGCUACUGGGAUUGAAGACAAGCUACAGGAUGGUGUACCAGAAGCCAUUGAGUCUCUUCGGCAGGCUGGAAUCAAGGUCUGGGUUCUAACUGGAGAUAAGCAGGAGACAGCGAUUUCAAUUGGUCUCUCUAGCAAACUCCUGACUACAGAUAUGAAUCAGAUUAUUAUAAAUGGGAAUUCAGAGGAUGAGUGUAGAAGUCUUUUGGCUGAUGCUAAGGCCAAAUAUUUUGUGAAAUCAUUAGAUUGUGGAAGUAAGUGUUUGAAAUAUAAAAAGGAUGCUGAAGUCACUCUGGACAACACAAAGUCUUCUACCAUGCCACAACAGCAUUCAGGGAAGGAAGAAGAGAUGCUGAGCGCAUCACAUGCACUCAUAAUUGAUGGGAAUAGCCUGGUGUACAUUUUAGAGAAAGAUCUGGAGUCAGAGCUUUUCGACCUUGCAACUUCCUGUAAGGUUGUCCUUUGCUGUCGUGUUGCACCCUUGCAAAAAGCUGGAAUUGUUGAUCUAAUUAAGAGUCGUACUGAUGAUAUGACACUUGCUAUAGGAGAUGGUGCCAACGAUGUUUCAAUGAUUCAAAUGGCAGAUGUUGGUGUGGGAAUAUGUGGUCAGGAGGGGCGUCAAGCAGUAAUGGCAUCGGAUUUUGCAAUGGGACAGUUUCGGUUUCUGAAAAGAUUGCUUCUGGUGCAUGGACACUGGAAUUAUCAGCGUGUUGGUUAUUUGGUUCUUUACAACUUCUACCGCAAUGCUGUUUUUGUUUUGAUGCUAUUCUGGUAUAUACUGUCCACAGCUUUUUCAACAACUUCGGCAUUAACAGAUUUGAGCAGUGUAUUCUAUUCACUUAUCUAUACCUCCAUCCCUACCAUUGUUGUUGGCAUUCUGGAUAAGGACCUUAAUGAUGAGACACUACUCCAGUAUCCAAGACUUUAUGGCGCGGGACAUAGACAGGAAAGUUACAAUAUGAGCCUCUUCUGGAUCACAAUGAUUGACACGCUAUGGCAGAGUCUUGUUAUCUUUUAUAUACCUGUUUUCAUCUAUAGCGAGAGUUCAAUUGAUAUAUGGAGUAUGGGUAGUUUGUGGACAAUCACUGUUGUUAUUCUUGUGAAUGUACACUUGGCAAUGGACGUUCAACGAUGGAUAUUCGUUACUCAUGUUGCAGUAUGGGGAUCAAUUAUCAUUACAUAUGCUUGUCUGAUUGCAGUGGAUUCUAUACCUAUCUUCCCCAAUUACGGGACAAUUUAUCAUCUGGCAAAGUCACCUUCCUAUUGGCUGUCUAUUUUUCUUAUACUAACCAUAGCAUUGCUUCCUCGCUUUCUUUUUAAAGUUAUACGUCAGAAUUUUUGGCCUUCGGAUAUCCAGAUAGCUAGAGAAGCUGAGAUACUGGGAGACCAGCCUGAUAAUUUGCCUUCAAAAUCAAGUAAAGGUUCUGGUUGACAUGUAUAUUACUCUCUACUCAGUUCAUAUUUUGAUAUGGCUUCUCUUGAGUUUGUCCACCAUGUUGCAUUCCUCUGGUGCUCUGUUGUGAAAUCCCAUGAUGCUUUAUACAAGUUGACUGCCAGCAUGUGGGACAAAUGAUCUACAGUUGACAAGGAAGUAAAUUCAGGGUAACCAGUUACAGAAUGAAAGGAAAGAAUGGACAAUGGUCAUGCCAAGGAGGGAGGGCUGGUGUACAAAGAAUGUGAUUUGGAUGAUUCAGGUCAGGGAAGAAAAAAGAGGCUGGAGAAAGGAGGAUAAAAUCAUGACUCAGGUAUCUCAAGCAAUAUGGUUGAGAAUUAUGAGGGUUGGUCUUGGCACAGAUUGUAGGGGUCCAUAACCAGGGCAUACACAUAAAGUGUGAAAAGACCGAAGUGUAUAAUAGUUUUCUGUAAAGAUCAGGUGUGUCAUUUCUCACACUUUAAAAAUGGAAUGAGAAAAAGAGAAAGAAAGUUGAUAAACAUCCCAAGUCAUUUGUUUCUUGAUCACCAUCCAGUUGUGUUUCCACCUUCAGGAGCGAUGCUCUUGAACAGAGGAGUGCUAUCAUGGAUACCUUAUUAAGGGCAGGGCAGGGCAAAUCGCAUCCCUCUACCUAGAAGGACAACAAACCCCUCAGCCUCAGCCAUUGGCACCGAGUGUAUAUGGUUUGAGGCAGAAGCCCUUGAAGGAGAGAGUGAAUGCGAAUUGCCUUGUUUUUCUUGUUUUCCAUCUCCAACGUCUCUAUGCACCUCCUUGAUGGGAAAGACGUAGGACAUGGUCAACUCCUUUUAUAGGCCUCUUAUCCUCCUCUGCCUCUGCACCAUCUUAACGUGCUUUCCGGUGGGGAACCUGUAGAUUGUUUAAAUAACCGCUGAUGGCAGACUAUGAAGGAGAAAGUUCCUUUUAUUGUGCAAGUCGGAGAUCUUGAUGUAACCUUGAGAUCAAAAUUUUCAUUAUGUAUAGAGAGGUUGUGGCUCUUCUGAAUCAGCAACUUAGUGAGAUAUGCUCAAUUUAUUACUGCCAACAGUGUAAUCUUUAUUUGGAUUACACAUUUGCUUUGAUCCAGGGAAGGUUUUUUUUUA